rnacentral:rRNA from 1 species
ACGCUCGACACCUACGGGAGCAGCAGUGGGGAAUAUUGCACAAUGGGGGAAACCCUGAUGCAGCGACGCCGCGUGAAGGAUGAAGUAUUUCGGUAUGUAAACUUCUAUCAGCAGGGAAGAAAGUGACGGUACCUGACUAAGAAGCCCCGGCUAACUACGUGCCAGCAGCCGACGGUAAUCUGAGCGGGCUGGCAAGGC